UAAAGAGCAGCCUGAUAUUGUCUAAAUCCACAAGAGGCUGGCAUCGGCAGUCAGGAGAGACUUGCACCUUGGUUCUGUUAUGUCUCCUCCAAAUGACCAUUUUAAUUUGCAUGAUGGACACUUAAGGUCUGCAGAAACUCCACACAGACAUAUUGCAAGAGGAUUGUGCUGGCUGGGAACUCUGCAGCAGAAGUGACAGAGGAGGAAAAGCAAAUGGAUUAGUUGAGCAUAGGAUGACUGUGAGCCCUCAUCUUGCAGUACUUCAGAAAAGACAAAUAGGACCCUUCAGCCUAUCAAGAUAAGUAAUAUCCAAUGGGGACAGAAAAAUCUGAAUUCCAUGGCACAAGGCAGCGAUACAAAACAAAUCAUUGCAGAGUACAAAGCGAUGGUGAGACUUUAUCUGGAAUACCAUGCUGAGCCCUGGUGGCUCCUAGAAGAGAAAGCACAAAGGCCGGAACAGCCGCAGGUAUAUGCUGCUGCGCACCUGCAUAGUGGAUCCAAUGGACAGCAGCAGUGGGAGACGCACACCCUACCCGGCCCGGUGAGACUGGGCUGUGUUCUCUGCUUUCCUCUGAUCUGACUUGAGUAAUUCUCCCAUCUGGAGGAACAGGGUACUGCAAGCACGGUGUACACCAGGAGACAGUGUCCGUGCCAGCUGCUGCGCUGAGUGGUGUUAGGCUUGGAUCUGCUCCUAUAAUACGCCUUUCCAACUGCUGGGUUUUUUUUCCAGUGGUUUAUGCUAUUAACUUUCAUCCUUGGGGGCUAAUCAUGGUUCUGCUCUAAACUUCUCCUGCCUCCAACAUGAUGAGUCUCAGGGUGCAUGCUGGACCCAACAUCAUAUUUCUGGUCAACUGCCAGACUGUGUCUGGACUCAGGCACCGCAUAUGAACUUUUAUAUACCUGGAGAAAGCUUGAUUUUGUGUUUACACUUUCGAAAAUCAUGAGUCAGCUCUGUCUUGUGCUAUUUGGCACCUCCUAAGGUGUCACAUCACUAUGUCAAAAGUUUCAAAUAGGGACAACAUAAUCUCAGUCUAAGUCAUCUCUACUGCUGAAAAUUAAUUAAACAUUAUCAAAUUAGUCACAGUUUGAUGACUAUCAGCCUCUUGGUAUAAUUAAGAUACAAGAAUUAUACAAAAGUUUCCACCUACUGGAUAGGCAAAAUCUACUGCCACUUGAUCUUUUUCUGGAUUAAUCUUUUAGGCUUAAUAAUAAUAGGAUAGAAUGCAGUGAAGAGAAGUGUAAAGCACGGCACAUAUGAGAAAUUAAGUUGCACAAACAUGAAAUAGGGACUAUCUGGCUCAGCAACAGUACUUCUAGAAAGAAUAUGAUAAGGGUCAUAGAACAGGGCUCAGCAAUACAAGCUCUGGGAACAAAUAAUCAUAUUCUCUUCAUGAACAGCAGCUUGAUGCAGAAGACAUGCAGAAUAAUCAUGCAUUUUCCUCUGGCUCUUUGAAGGCUUCAGAUUAUAGAAAAACCAUUGUAGGACAGUUUAAGUUGAAACAGGCCUCUGGAGGUGAUGUCCUGUAUUAAGGUUUUGGUACCGGAUAUUAAGAAUCAUGCAAUAGGAGCAAGUUCUGGAGGAGAAUUGCCCAACAGAUGAAGUAAGAAAGAACUGCGAAGAAAGGUUCAGAAUUUGGGUUUGUUCUGUCUGGAAAAGAAGAGACUGA